CAGUCUGAUGGAGCACGCCGCGUGAGUGAAGAAGGUCUUCGGAUCGUAAAACUCUGUUGUUAGAGAAGAACACGAGUGAGAGUAACUGUUCAUUCGAUGACGGUAUCUAACCAGCAAGUCACGGCUAACUACGUGCCAGCAGCCGCGGUAAUACGUAGGUGGCAAGCGUUGUCCGGAUUUAUUGGGCGUAAAGGGAACGCAGGCGGUCUUUUAAGUCUGAUGUGAAAGCCUUCGGCUUAACCGGAGUAGUGCAUUGGAAACUGGAAGACUUGAGUGCAGAAGAGGAGAGUGGAACUCCAUGUGUAGCGGUGAAAUGCGUAGAUAUAUGGAAGAACACCAGUGGCGAAAGCGGCUCUCUGGUCUGUAACUGACGCUGAGGUUCGAAAGCGUGGGUAGCAAACAGGAUUAGAUACC
rnacentral:rRNA from 1 species